ensembl:lncRNA
GCCUCUCAGUGCCCACCUUCGCUCGGGAAGGCCGGAAGGAUUGCUCCGCCCCACGCCGCGCUCGACACCCCAACUCCGCAGGGAUUCCUCCAGGAAUUCCUCCAGGGCAAUUCCAAGGGCCCUGACCCCGCGGGGGUGGAGCUGCUCCAGCUUUCGCUCUCGCACCCGGUCCCCUCGGGCUCCUUUCCUCGUUCCACCCAUUCUGGGCUAAGGCGUCCAGGGUUGUUGUCCGCCUCACAGGAUUGCUGUGAGAAUAAAAUGAAAGAUGUGAUAUCUCGAAAUGAUGGAGGUAAACUUCACCUGACCCACAGAGUUGUGGCUGUGAAACUGGGAAGAAAGUGCUGGUGUUGGAGAAGGAUCUCAUACACCACAGCGUGCUCCUCAGUAGCAUCGUUGUGAAUUCGAGAAUGGCCCAGGAGGAGAGACAGUGGGUGCCUUCAGCAAAGAAGAAAAGGGAAAAUCCCUAGGGA